GCUAUGUUUAGUGACUACAUCUUGUGAGAAGUGAAAAAGCUCCUUUUAUGAGUUCUAGUAUGUGAAAAGGAGUGAGUUGAAUAAAUCUAUUCCUUGAAGAGGAGAUCCAGCAUUUCAAAAUGUAAUACCAUAGGAAACCUCAGGAGCCUCCUUGCCUCAGGCAGUCUCCUGGAGAUGUGGUGAUGGGCUGGGAUCUUGCAUCCGUAAUCAGCAGUUUCUGCUGCCUUGUCCUUAAGCUGAGCGUGGGCCGGUGCCUCCGCGGGGAUGCAGAGCUGGGAUCACUGGGAGGCGAAGCCCUGGCGCAGUUGGGUUCCCUGAAAUGUGAUGCGAUAGCGGGGUGAGAGGCUUCUCCCAGCAGCCGAGGAGAGUUGAGGUGAAAGAAACUUCAUCCAAAGGGUAGGUAACUGCUCUCCGUGAAACAAAACCAGCACCCAGAGAGACGGAGUCCACCCUGAGAAGCUGCUAAGCACCGAGGAACCCCCACCUGAUGCUGUCUCUGCAGCAUUUGCACAUCUCAUGCUCAGUCUGGAUGUGAUCCUUUACCAGCCAUUCACUGAAGUGCCAGAACACAUUAAAAAAAACACUGCUUCUUGCUCUCGGUUACACUGGCCUCUCCAGCAGCAUUUAAAAAAGGUUUCUGCCUAUCUGCGUAGGCAGAGGCAUCGUACCUUGCAUUUGCUUUGAGCUUGGUCUGGUGUGCGAAGGUGUUUUGUGAAAAAUACUUUGAGCAAGUAUGCUAUUCUCUUACCUGAUGAAAAAUAAUAAAAAAGUGAUUAAAUAAUUAAUACUGGAUGUUGCUUAACAGUUGCUAAGAGGCUUAAUAUUUUUCUGAAGAUUUUUUUCUUAAUUUAGGAAUAAAACAGACAUAAUUGAGCAUGCUAUUCUGAAGCUGCAAAUAACACUCCGAAGAGAAUCGAAGGAAACACAUUUCUUUGAUUAGAAUAUUUUUCUCAUUAACAGGUUGUUCAAAAUAAAGCAAAAAUAUUUGAAGCACAGAGCCUGUGGCAGUAUCAGGUUAACACUGGUGUGCUCCUGCAUUUUACUUCAUGUUUACUAAUCAAUCAAAAAAGACUCUUGCUGGCAAGAAAGGUCACGUCUUUCAUCACAAAACUGAAACUUUUUGACAACAAACGAUUAGAACUUCACUGUUCUGUUUAAAGCGGAUUUCAGUGCGGAAUGUGAAAGCCCAAGGUAGCAGGGUGCUGGGCACAGGGUCGGGUAAACAAGCAGAGCUGUGCUCUACAGAUGUUGGGAACCACAUACUCCGAGUAAGGGGACUGUCUCAGCUGUAUCAAGACAUGAUGGUGUUCUAAAACAGUGGUGUCUAAGUUCAAACUGUUUGGAGAAGAGAAUAAAUAAUAUUCGGGGAGGUAUUGGUGUGCAGUUUUGUCUCAGGUGUUAAUGUCAGGGUUAGGAUAGCUGUGCAUGUCUGGGUCAGGGUGCUGUAGGACCACCUAGCCUGCCGGGCAUGCAAGCAACAGCUACCUGCAGAGUGUUAAACCAUAUUCCUCCUCCGUUUUAUUUCAGGAUAGAAAUAAACCCCCUGCGCCUCUAUCAUGACCUCCUAGUUCUAUUCUUUCUCUGAAAACUUUUUUAAAGACCUGUAUCUUGAGGAAGUGAAUACUCCUGGCAGUUGGGAAAAAAAAAAAAAAAAAAAGUUUUCCCAGGUAGAAAAUACAGCCCGAAUAGUUUCACAAGCAAAAUAGAAGCAGCCUUGCUGUCCUUCCUCAGCUGGGUAAGGGAAUUGCUGCCUCCGUGGCAGCGGUCCCCACCCGUCUGUGGGUGCAGACGGGAGCGGGGCCGGGGGCAGAUGUGGCCAGAGCACGCUGCUCAGCGCCCGUCUUCACCCUCCCUUGGCUCUUCUGCAAGUUACAGUCCUGCCCUUGAAAGAACUGGGGUGAAAUCAGAGAAAUGAUCACAAAAUAUCACUGCUUUUGUUGUCUUUCCUUCCCCUCCACUGGUUGCACAGACAUCAGCCACUGAGGAGUCUCCCAGGAGGUGAGAAUAGCAGGAUGCAGACUUACCCCUGACCAGGAUUUACACCCUCUGUCUCCUGAAGGAGUCAUUGAUAUGAAAAGAUGCACACGUUGCCUGCAGCUAUAGCACAUAUUGCAUGGCAUGACACACACAUAAGUGAGAUUAAUUUGAGUUCUGGGCAUCAUUAGCUCAAUUAAAACUGUGAUUUUUUAGUUCAGACCUACAGGCCAUUGCGGAGAAGAGUAAUCAUAAGACAGAAACGAGUUCCCUAGUUAAAAAUUAAUUCCCUAGACUAAAAAUAUAAUCAAACGAUGUCUACAGUAUUUUAUGAAGAGCUGGGAGGAUAAUAAAAUUUAAAGCAGUGCAA